GCAAUGUUAUGACUGAAUUCAAUUUGUGGUAAAUAUAGAUCAUGUAACAUUUUCCAAAUAUUUUUAUGUAUUUAUGCAUCUUUAUAUAAUUUUAAAAUUUUGUAUAUUUUUUAACUAGUAUUAUUUAAGGUAAAUAUCUGGUAUACCCUAAGAAAAAGCAGCCCAUAUAACAUUAAAGAAAUUAAUGUUAUAAAUUAAAAUCAGAGGUGGGAUUAAUGAGUAAUAUCCCAGUACAUGACAGUACUAUACGCAGCUCCCUCCAUACUCAGUUCAAGGACUGCCUGAGCUCAUUAGGCUUUGUGUUAAAAGAAAGCAUGAAAAUGAAGAAAAAUGAACAUCUCCCUACAACACAAAAGAACUUGUAAGAAUUUGUAUUUUUUUUUUCAUUUUUUGGUGUUACAUCCUAAGAUUUCAUCAUUCAUGAUCCUCAAGUUAUACAGAGGAUUUUUUCUUUUUUUGGUGUUGGCUAGUAAGGAUAGCCAAAUAUAGAUCUACAGAAAGAAAAUAUGGAUUGUAGCUUAAGGUGGAUGUAGUUUAACAGGGAAACAUUCAAUAAAGUAGGGUUGCUGUAUUUUAAAUUGAUAAAAGGAAUAAGUUAUCUUAUUUUAGUUCAUACUAAAUGAGGUAGUUAAGAAAUUCCUGAUUAAAAAUAGGUUGUGUCAUUCAGGCAGUUAAUACUUUUGUAUCAUAAUAUGUGUUAUUUUACAGUAAUAAUUGAAGAUUUCUGCAAGUGAAUUAAUGUAAACUGUACAUGCUUGGAAAUUGUCACGAUACCAUCUAGAAUGAGCAUUUUUAAGCAAACAGAAAACAUGUUCAGGAAGAAUGUUAAAAUUCUAAUACUUGUAAAUAGAAGAUGACAUUUCACUGCCUUUGUGCUUCAUGAGUGCUUUUGAAAUAACCAUCAAAACAAGAAGAAAAUAUUGAAAAGGCAAUUUGUGCCAAUACUUUUGUCAACCUCCUGGGAGUACUGGACUGCCUAUCCAAGUCUAUAUGCCUUUAUGGUUUUUCAAUUUGUGAAGAAUGUAAGAAACUUCAGAGUCUUAUCAGCAAAGUGUAGUACAUUAUCUAACAGAAAAGAGAAGAUAAAGUUUUUGGUGCUCAUGAUGACGUACUAGCCCUAACCUGAGUACAGCUGAUGGAAGUGUAAGAAAAUAUACAUUCCUGAAAACUCGAAGUGGUUAUCAAAUCUUGGUUCUACAGCUGACAUAAUGAUCUGAAAGGUUGCAGAGAGUAAACACUCUUGUGAAUCAUCAUAAUAGAGCUCAGAUAUUUGAAUAGAGACUGGAAUUUUGAUUUGAAGACAAUUUAUAAAUAUUUUCUGAUUGUUAAUUUGGAAUUAACUCAAGAAGUAGAGACACUACUACAUGGAUAAUGAUUGAAUUGACAUUGGCAUCGUCUCAAUGUUUUCAUAAAAUAUUCACUGUAGUCAAUUUUUUCCUCAGAAUUGAUGCUUACAAAUACUUGUCAACUUGGAGAUACACUUUUAGUUUUAUUUGCAUCACACUUAAUAGAUUAGAGAAUAGAUUGCUUUAAAUUUAUUCUUCAUAUACAACCUCAAGGAAUAGCGUUGUCCAACUGUAGUCUGUUCUACUUAAGAGAAAACACAGGAGGACUGCAUGUUUGAGGUCACCUUGACAACAGUGAAACCGCUUCUCUCCAUCUCAACAAUAAAAAGGUGGUAAACAUAUUGACAUACACAUCAAAUAUGCUUUUAUGAAGAGGUUUCAUCUACAGAAUCUCCCAAAUACCAUUAUAUAUUUAUUGUCUCUGGAGUAUUAUUUUACCUUUCUUAUCGUACAACUUGCAUAGAAGACUUCCAAGGAAUAGAAAUGACCUGCUCUUGGCAAGUAAUUGCCUGAAACGUUCAAUUCUUCUCUUUACAUUAUAUCUUGGACUCCCAUAUUGUUUGUUGCAUAUUAUCUUUUAUUCAUAUUUUAAUUUGCAAAUAGAAGAAACUUUUCUAAGUGGGUUGUAUAGCUAAUGUAUAUAAACUUGCUUAUGAUACUUUGGAUUAUACCAAAAAUUGUUGACUGAUUUAAUCUCUUUACACCAGAUUUAUCAUUUGUUAGAUGGCUUCCUCCUUCUUUGAAUAAGAAACUCAGAUUUAGGCAGGUAAUGGGGAAGAUUAUUUGACACAGUGGUGUUUUCUAGAAGAGAAACUCUGAGUGCUAAUUUUGCUAAUAUUACUGGUCUCUGUCUAGGGCAGAAAUAUGAGUUUCUGUGGUUUACUUUUUCUCCAAUACUCCUACAGGAGACUUUGGUGCCUUUGUAAUGGAGUGGAUUAAGAAAUGCCUUUGCAUUGAUAAGGAGAGCCAUAGUGAUGUUGUCUUGUAGAGUAUGUGGCAUCAUGUUUUUAUUAAUAUCACAUUCCAGAAUAGAGUAAAAUCUCAUGGUUUCAAAGUGAUUCUAGUUUAUUCUAAAUUUGUUUUUUUUUGUUUUGUUUUUCUCCUUAAACUAAAUAAAGUAAUGUGAAGCAGUGCUAAUUUUAAACAUUAGUUGUGUGUUUCUAGACAAUAAGCUGCCAGUUCAUUUGAAAAUUGUCUGCAUUUUUCAACCUGUUUUAAUAGUUGUAAGAAUGAAAAUAAGUGUUAAGAUUUUUUUAACUGUAUGGGUAUGUCUUCAUGUGUAUAUGUGCAUGUCAGGUGUCUGUAGAGAUCAGAGUUAUAUAAUAUUUCUUUGAAUGUUUGCACUGUUUACUAAUACAUUAUUUAAUAGGUGCUAGUAAGAAUUCUCAAUGGAAAAAUGCAACUGGUAACUCCAGCUGGAUCACUGAAAUCAAGGUUAUAAUGUAAGACAGAAUAUAGCUUAUUACAGAACAUCACAUGGAUUGUUUUUAAACUCAUAAAUUUGUAGUAUAACCCAUAUCUCCUUACUCAUUACAUUAUUAUUACAUUUUAGCUAAUCCUGAGGUGUGGUCUGGGUUAUUUUAUAGUGCUCAUUUAUUUUACAUGCUGUGUUCUUCUUGUUUUAACUGCAGAGUUAAAUUAGUGUUUUUUAAUUAGUCUCUAAUGUUAACAUUUUCUGAGGUUAGAGUGGUCAUGACUCUAGUCAGACACCAGUACAAUUUGUCAGUUUGUGUUAAGGACCACAAAAAUUUGUAAAACUGUAGAUUUACAGACCAUAGUUUUGAAACAAGUAAUCUGUUCUUAUGUUUAAGAACAAUUAAGGCUAAUUAUUAAACUAUGCCCCCAUAAAUAGUUGCAUAAAUCUUGGGUCAUUUGGAUUUUAGCAGAUGGUUUUCUACCACAUAGCCUACUGUACAGGUCUAGAUUCAUCUAGAAAACCUUUGGUGAAUUUAAAUAUAGAAGGCACAAAAAGAAUAUCUUUUCUUGUACUAGUUACAUAAAUGGUCCUCAACCUAUGGGUCCCAACCCCUUUGUGGGUUGAACAAACCUAUCACAGGGGUCACCCAAGAACAUUGGCAAGCACAGCUAUCUUACAUUACAACUCAUAACAGUAGCAUAAAUAUAGUUAUGAAGUAGCAUUGAAAACAAUUUGAUAGUUGGAGGUCCCCAUUAUGCGAACAGAUGUAUUAAAGGAUUGUAGUAUGAAGUAUUUUAAAAUGAGAUGUUUUAUUUCAUUAUAUUAUCAAUAUCUACUGUGAUUAAAGAACUCUGUGAUCACUCAUUGCUAAUCUGCUAUCCGAGUUCCACAGCAGCAUAUAAUAAGACAUACAUUUUCAUGGUAUAUAUAGUAGUCAGUAACUUUCUUAGGUUUUUAUCUAUGUACAUGGAGAUUUUAGAUGUAAGAUCUUUGUAGCAAUGAUUUUUUCUAUUUAAAUAUCAUAGUGGUUUAUGGAGUUUACAAAAAUGUGUUUUGCUUCUAAAUGUGAUGAUGUUGAUGAUGUGUAUUAUUAUGUAAGUAUGAUAAUAUUUUUGAGUUUCUGCUUAUAGUUUUCUAGGUAUAAUAAUAUUAGAUCAUCAUCUUUAUAUGCCUUUGGUUUCUGUCAAUAUUUUGAAGUUGCCUGCAAAUAUUUUCUGGGUUAAGCCAGUAGAGUGGUGUAAGGAUAGUGCUAAUUUUCAUAGACUUGUCUUUACUAAGUUUCAAUGACUUAGUAAAUAAUAGCCAAUCUAAUAGGUGAAACAAUAUUUUUAAAGCCUAAAUUAAGCCUCACUUAAAUGCUUAAUGGACCUGACUUAAAAAAAAAAAAACUAAAUUGCUUUUAGUUGUAGAAAAAACUAAAAUUUCCAAAUUUUGCUUAGUUUACAUAGUGAUACAGAUAAGGUUACAUAGUGAUACCUUGUCUCAGUGUUUGCAUUUCUUCAUAAGUUGAUUGAGUAUACACUAUGGUAACAUGUUUUUUUUUUCUUUUUUCUUUUAUUUUGAUGUGAUUGUAGAGCCAUAUGCUCUUUAUAGUCUGAUUUACUCUCUGCAUUCCUUUCACUUAUCAUUUCCCAUACUUUUCCCUCCAUAUUAUCAUCUUAUUUCUGUUUGCGCAUGUCAAUUGGUUUUCUAAACUAUAUAUUAAUUUAAGGUAUGAUGUUCAAAAUGCAGGUAUUUUUUUUAAAUGUGUGCUUAGAUUCCUUUAAACUUGGACUAAAGGUUAAGAAGUGUUGAUUGUCCUGUUUGAAUCUAGUAUUAAUUAUGCAAUAAUAUAUUACAAUAUAAUAUGCUAAACUAUUAUGGUAUAUUAUAUUAUAUUGUAUUAUAUUAUAUUUAUUAUGCUAUACAAUAUUAUUUAAUUAUCCUCUAGAUUCCUGUUUCUUUUCUUUUUUUAAUUGGAUAUUUAUUUAUUGACAUUUCAAAUGUUAUCCCCUUUCCUGGUUUCCCCUCUGGACAUUCCCUAUCCCAUCCUCCAUUCCCUUGCUUCUAAGAAAGUGCUUCCCUACUCACGCAUACCUGUCUACCUAUCCUAGCACUUACCUACACUAUGAAAUUGAGUCUUCCCCGGACUAAGGGUCCCUUGUACCAUAGAUGUCUGACAAGACUAUACUCUGCUUCUUAUACAACCAUAGCCACGGGUCCAUACAUGUGUACGCAUUGGUUGGUGGUUUAAUUUCUAGGAGUUCUUGGGUUCUGGUUGUUCUUGCUGUGGAUUGCAAACCACUUCAGACCCUUCAGUCCUUUCUCUAACUUUUCCAUUGGGGACCCUGUUCUCAGUCCAGUGGUUAGCUAUGAGCAUCCUCUACACUUCAGGCUCUGGCAGAGCCUCUGAGGAAACAUCUGUAUCAGGCUACUGUAAGCAAGCACUUACUGGCAUCUUCAAUAGUGGCUGGGUUUGGUGUCUGUAUAUGGGAGUGAUCCCCAAGUGGAGCAUUCUCUAGAUGGCCUUCCUUCAGUCUCUGAUCUACACUUUUUCUCAGUAUUUCCUUCCUUGAGCAUUUUGUAAGAAGUACUGAAACAUCCACAUUUUGGUCUUCCUUCUUCUUGAGCUUCAUGCAGUCUGUGAAUUAUAUCUUGGGUAUUGGGAGCUUUUGGGCUAAUAACUUAUCAGUGAGUACAUACCAUGUGUGCUCUUUGUGAUUGGGUUAAAUCACUCAGGAUGAUAUUUUCUAAUUCUAUCCAUUUACCUAUGAAUUUCAUGAAACCAUUGUUUUUAAUAUUUGAACACUACUCCCUUGUUUAAAUGUACCCCAUUUUCUGUACCCAUUCCUCUAUUGAAGGAUAUUUGGUUUUUUUCCAGGUUAAAUAAAUAAGGCUACUAUGAAUAUAAUGGAACAUGUCUCCUUGUUAUAUGUUGGAGCAUCUUUUGGGUAUAUGCAAAGAGUGAUAUAGCUGUGUCCUCAGGUAGUACAAUGGCCAAUUUUCUAGGUCUUUACCUUUUUUUUUUUUUUUUUUUUUUUUUGAAGCUGGGGACUGAACCCAGGGCCUUGCGCUUGCUAGGCAAGCACUCUAUCACUGAGCUAAAUCCCCAACCCCUUAAAAAGCAACCAUCCAGGCUUGGUG
ensembl:lncRNA